AAAGUUGCUGCUGGCUCUGUGAGCAGGCAUCUUCCCAGCCUACAUGUGGAUCCAGGAGUCUGCAGGCUGGUUAGAUGGUUGUCACAUGUCUGGCUGCCUGCAUC
rnacentral:miRNA from 1 species